CCGACGGCCACUAAGAUCAUCAGAGCUGUGCCCACGAUGUUUUGGAGAAUCUGCAUAGGUUAGAGGGUGAGGGAAAAAAAAGGCCACACUCAGGCCCAGCCCGCGGGCCUCCGCUCCCAUGGUGACAGGUGCCCCCCUGGGAGCCAUUCCUGGCCAGGGCGCCCAGCCAGCUCUGAAGAUGGGCCUUGCAAGCUCCUGGGGACGGACCCCCGGCACACGCACAGUGCACGGUAAAGGAUCAGAUGUUCGCCCCCUUUGAGCCGACUCAUCCCAAGGGCGCCCGGACGCGGCUCCAGCACAAGCGGGAAGAGCGGUCAGGGCCCCUUCCCCAAGGGCAGGAGACCAGGGCGGCUUGCGCGGGCGGGAGCGCUCACCGAGAAGAAGCUGGCGUCGAAGUGAAGGAGCGUCAUGAACAUCAGCACCAGCAGAACCCUGCCUCCGAGCUGCAUGUACUGCUUGGGUGAGCUCUCGCGCACGGUGGGGACGCCCGCGAACAUGCUCUUGCCUUCGGACCGGGACUCCGCCAAGAGCAGCAACAGGCCUCCUCCCAGGGCCAGGUUCCUGAGGACAGAAACGCCAGCUGAGUUGCCAGGGCUCGGCAGCCACGACGCCCGCCCGUCCGCCCAGGUCGGGAGGCCUCGGCAGGAGCACAGGCAGGGAGGGCCCGCAGGUCCGUCUCUCCAAACCAGGCCGGACCGGCUGGGCGUGAGCCCGCAGGACCAGGGCCCGAGCCACCCCGGCAAAGGCCAUACACGGCCGAAGACAGACGGGUCUGUCCCGCUGAGCAGUGACACGAACGCGCUCGGAGCCCGUCCUGGCCCGGCCCCGCCGUCGGCCAGCUGGGGCGCCGGGAGCGCCUGCUGUCGCUCAGGCCCUCCUUCCCUCCCCAUGGGCACUGGGCUGGGAGACACAGCUUCAUUCUCACCUGUGCCCCGGGGGGGGGGUCCCUCCGCCAACACCUCCCACAGACUCCCAAGUGCACUCGGACCCAAAGAUACUCGCUCCCGACUGCUGGCUCCCGAGUCUGGAGACGCGGAACAGAAGCUCAGCACGUGAAGCGCGUACCUCAUCAAGAACUUCAAGUCCCACAGGAUGCUGUAGGCGACGGUCUGAAGGGGACACAGAAGAGAAGACAGAAACUUGAGUCUCACAUUUCCAAAUGCAUUCAGACUUUUACGUAGAGUAACAGUAGGCAAUCUUUCCACCGGAAGGGAGCGUAAGACACCCGGGACAGCUCCGAGCUCAACAACCGGGCGCAGCGGUCCCCGGGGCGCGCUGACCAGCCCAGCCUGCGGAACGAGCCAUCUGCUCCCAGGGAGCUGCGCCCUCGAGGUGAGACAUGGCCCCUGAGGGCUCCGGUCCGGGUGCCCACGGCUCCUCGGGCCAGCUGGGUGUUCGUGAGGGAAGACAAUAAGACCGUGUCCUGGCAGCCAACCUUGUCACCUGUCCUCGUCAGAGGAAGCUCCGGAAGGUGGCAAAAAGGUGGGCGCCCAGAGCUUGGCACCUUCUCAGGGACCCCAUCCUCUCCAGCCCUCCUGAGCUCGCACUCGGGAAAGGAGAGGCGACCCAGGGAGAGACACCGCCGGGGGAGAAGCCCGCGCACCUGCAGUGCUAUGAUCCCGAAGAGCCCGAAGCAGGCGUACUGCACGAAGUUCCUGCUCAACACCAGGAUGCAGCCGGCUGGAGAGGAGAAGGGCCAGGCUCAGGGGGCUGCGGCCGAGGACCGGCUACGCGCCCAAGGGAAAAGCAACUCCUGGGAGACUUCAUCUUGGACAGGGACCGGACCGCACCCGAGCGGAUGGGACCUUACUUGGCACAGGUACCGUUCUAGAAAAUGGAUCCCUUGCUCCAGAAAACGGGACAUUUUCCAGAGCGGGUGGCGCAGUGGCAACUGCCGUGAGAGCCUCAGGACAGGCUGAGAAGGGCAGGCCCUUUUCUGGCCCCCAAAUGUGCAAGGUGGCGGGGCUGCUGCCAACAGACAGCGGCCGGGGAGCAGAAGACCUGAGGCCCACGUGAGCUGCGUUCCGGCCGCCGACUCCUCCUUUCCCGACGCCGUGGGCUUCCCCUGCUCUGGCUCCUCGCCGGCCCACCCAGGUCACCCAGUGUCCCCCUCCCCCCCCCCGCGUCUCCCGGUCCAGGAGCUUAGAGCAGGGCCUGUGUCUUUGGUCUUAGUGAGCACGGCACCCACCCAAAGGCCGGCCUCCUGGGAGCCCCUCCCGUGGCCCCCGCCCCUGCCCCCCGGGGAAGGCCGGCGUGCGUCGGGGCCACUCACUCAGCUGCCCCAGCAGGUUGAGGAGCACGAAGGCGGAGGCCAGCGCGUAGCCGCAGCCCCAGGUCGUGUCGAUGUAGUCGCGCUGCUCGCCCCACUGGAACCACAUGCGCACGCCGUCCUCCAGGAACGUGCUGAUGAGGCAGAGGCGCGCCACGUGGGGCAGGUACUGCUUGGUGACCCGGAGGAACUGCGGGCCACAGA